rnacentral:lncRNA from 1 species
ACCUACACCACAGCUCACGGCAACGCCGGAUCGUUAACCCACUGAGCAAGGGCAGGGACCGAACCCGCAACCUCAUGGUUCCUAGUCGGAUUCGUUAACCACUGCGCCACGACGGGAACUCCUCAUUUGCUAUUUUAAAACAGUACAAGGAAUAGGGCAGAAGAGGCCUGGUGGUCUGCUGGUGGGGAACUCAGAGCUGGUGGGGCCUUACCUCGCCGCCCCCCCAUCAUCUGUUUGUCCCAGUGGGAUGGGAACAGGGUCAUUUACAGAUCGAAGAUCACGACUAGGGAUGGCACACUGAGUGCUCACUUUUAUCUGUCUCUCCCAAAUUUCACUGAACGCCGAGAAGUCCACACGCGCUCUCAUGGCAAAAACAAAAGUGCAAGAAGAGUAAUGGUGAGUCACUUCCGUGAUAGGCGGUGGCAGGUGGGAUUGAGUGAGGAAGAAAAGAGAUCUGAGAAGAUAGAAGCUGCAGAGCUGCGGAGAAGGGGGCUGGGCUGGGAGGGAAGCUGCUGGAGGAACCAGAGCCCUGCAGGAAACUAGGAAAUCCUGGAAGAAGCUAGUUGCUGUCAAGCAGCAGAAGGGAGGACAAGGCAGGAGGUGGCGUCUUCAUGCGUGCCUUUCACUGUCAGGAGGCACCUAGCAGUGUGACCCCAUGUGGGUGAGAAGAGAUACAGAUACAGACUGCAAAGGUCCUGUGCUCGGGUCAGAGUCCCCAACCUCCCCCCGGAGUCCCCAUCCUCCCCCCACACUGCUGACCACUCGCCCAUCAACAAGCGUCUCCUCCCAAGUGGGACAAGGUUGUACUCAGAGGUGGCUAGAACUUCUGCCACCUGAAUCCAGGACUGGGCCCUAGAGUGCAGGUACUGGCGUGGGGUGGGGGCGGAUAGCAGGAGGGGAACAGGAUCCGUGGAGGGCAGCCUGGUGCGUGGGAGGGCUCAGGUCCUCAGGACGCAGGACUGGCAGGUUCUCUGCUUUCCGCCUCCCUUCUCUGCGCCCCCGAGGACAAGCGCUGCCCGGGGACCCUCCUUCCCAGUGUCCCUCCACUUACAGAGGUGGAGGAGGAGCUGGGAGGGCUGAGGGUGUCGCCAUCAAGCACCAAAAGGCCCCAGUGACCAAAGUAUGUAGCUCAUUUUCCGGAAGCCCUGGGAAGGUACCCCCGCACCUUGCUUAGGUGGGCUCUCGGCCCAUCACGUGCUCCAGAACCGGGGAGGC